AGACUCAUCCUCAUUCAACUAGUUAGUUACAGCAAGAAAAGUAAAGCAUAGUAAGUCAUCUUUCGCAAUGGGGAAAUGUUUAAGGCCGACCCACCAAGAAGUCAUGUUGUUUUGCUUGGUUCUUCUGCUGUGCUCUGCCAUUCCUGCACAAACAAGAGAUAUAGGUCAAACCACAAAUGAGAUCCAAAAAGAUAUGUCGACCGGUGUGAAAAACAAGAAUAGCUUUGGAGAACUUUAUUAUAAACCUGAUCACUGUGUUCAAACCCCCGGUGGGUUCUAUUGCUGUGCACUGGACCAGCUGUGCUAUCCAACUAUUGGGCUGUGCAUACCAGAAUGCACAUCAUCAAAGGUGCGCAGAGGAUCAUGAUGAGCAAGUGAUUAAUUACGAAUAAUCAUGUACUCCACCCAGCAGUUGGGAUUAGUUAUGGAUGCCUGAUUUCUAUGUUCAAAACGAUAUGCAGUUUCUUCAAAUAUCUUGAGUAUGAGACAGUCUCUUGGUGCCUAUGAUCCGGAAAUGUGUCUUGGACCAACCAUAAUUUCAAACAUAAAAAAAAAACUUGA